CGACAUAGACUCCUCGCGUAUCCCGAGCAGAGGCUGUUGUGCCGCAGCGCCAGCGCCCCUUGCCUGUUCGAGAGAGUCUCUCUCUCCUUCCACCUCUGUUCUUCGGCCCCUACCCACCACCUCAGAACUCGUGCAACUGCCCAUCUAGCUUUUCUUGUGUGCUCGAAUGCCCAAGAAACACCGUGUGAAGCGACAAAACUAUGUUGCCCACCUGCGCAACCUCGAGAAGGAGCGGGAGACCUACCUGCAGAAGCGCCGCGCGCACAAGCGCAGCCGCGAGACGGGAAACGAGGAAGUAAUGGGUGAGGCACGCGACAGGAUGGAGGCUGGUGCACCGAAGAAGCGUCGCACCGAGGCGGACGCCUCCACAGCGGCGAGCGCGAGGAACGAAGAGGGGGCAGCGCCGCACACGCAUUUGUCCCUGACAACGUCAGCAAAAAGCGCUGCUGCCGCUGAGACAGUUCCAGCAAAGCGGCGCUCCUUUUCCACGAAAUCAUUCGCAGAGUUGGUGAAAGCGUCCACGGCGACUGCGCAGACGACCGAUGCAGCUCCGCGCGACACGUCGGCGAUUACCACAACCGCGAAGAAGACGCUCAAACGCCGCAACUACUGACGCAAAAAAAAAUUUCACCAGGGCAUGUGAGAGCACUGCCCAACGUCGCACGCUGAUGGAGGAGUGCGUUGUUGGUCUCCACCUUCUGUAUAUAUAUAUAUGUGUGUGUGUGUAAGUAUACCGCGUUGUACGGAUAAGCGACGAAUAAAGUACACUGACGUAAAACGACGUGCUGGCAAAGACGUCCACAAAAAGUUCCCCUACAGGGAGCACCUCCAUUUGCUGUCCUUUGCCCUUCCCCUCUUUCCGCAGAGGGUGAGUGGCGCGAUCAGUCUGCAUGGAGCUUCUUGACAGGAAGGGCAACUAUCGUGAGCAUAUUGCCUACUGCUCGUGAGGCUGGUAAGAGUCACCAUGGGAAGAAACGCUUUCACGGUGUGUUGUUUCGCUGCUGCUGCUGUUUCUUUUCCCUCGCGUUUUGUGGGUGCCGAAUCCGGUGGCAGCAUCGCCGUCGCAAGCGCAGGAUUGUCUCUCGACCCCAUCCCUAUCCCCUCUCUUCUCCUCACGCCGGUUUCACCGCGCUGAGUUCGCCGUAGUUUGUGUCCAUCCUCGAUAUAUAUCCUCAG
rnacentral:misc_RNA from 1 species